UCUCAAUCAGAAGGUUAAGGGUAAGC
rnacentral:piRNA from 1 species